rnacentral:rRNA from 1 species
GACGAACGCUGGCGGCGUGCUUAACACAUGCAAGUCGAACGGAAAGGCCCUGCUUGCCGGGUACUCGAGUGGCGAACGGGUGAGUAACACGUGGGUGAUCUGCCCUGCACUUCGGGAUAAGCCUGGGAAACUGGGUCUAAUACCGGAUAGGAGCCAUUCUUAGUGUGAUGGUUGGAAAGUUUUUUCGGUGUAGGAUGAGCUCGCGGCCUAUCAGCUUGUUGGUGGGGUAAUGGCCUACCAAGGCGGCGACGGGUAGCCGGCCUGAGAGGGUGGACGGCCACAUUGGGACUGAGAUACGGCCCAGACUCCUACGGGAGGCAGCAGUGGGGAAUAUUGCACAAUGGGCGCAAGCCUGAUGCAGCGACGCCGCGUGGGGGAUGACGGCCUUCGGGUUGUAAACUGCUUUCGCUAGGGACGAAGCUUUUGUGACGGUACCUAGAUAAGAAGCACCGGCUAACUACGUG